rnacentral:rRNA from 1 species
GUGUCAGCAGCCGCGGUAAGACGGGGGAGGCAAGCGUUGUCCGGAAUUAUUGGGCGUAAAGAGCGCGUAGGUGGUUUAUCAAGUCAUUUGUGAAAACUUUAGGCUUAACUUAAAGAUUGCAAGUGAUACUGGUAUACUUGAGCACAGCAGAGGAAAGUGGAAUUCCUGGUGUAGCGGUGAAAUGCGCAGAUAUCAGGAAGAACACCAGUGGCGAAGGCGGCUUUCUGGGCUGUUGCUGACACUGAGGCGCGAAAGCUAGGGGAGCGAACAGGAUUAGAUACCCUGGUAGUCUUAGCUGUAAACGAUGGACACUAGGUGUGGGGGGUUAUCGACGCCUUCCGUGCCGAAGCUAACGCAUUAAGUGUCCCGCCUGGGGAGUACGGCCGCAAGGCUAAA